GAGUUAGAAAAGAACUUACAACAAAUUCCCCACUAAACAAAGAAAUUUGAUGUAACAGCUGUGCAUACUAAUGAAAGAGAACAAUUCACUGCAAAUAUGUGAAAGCAUUCUAAAUAAGUUCAGCACAAAUUGAAACAUAAGUUUGGUGCACGCAUGUGGAUGUAGCUGCUUCUUUUUAUGUCAUAUUUCUUCACUUUCAGUAUGCAUGUAUUUCUGAUUCUGCAAAUUUUAUUAUGCCUUUUUGUGCAUAUAUAUGUUUGCACAGACUAGCAAGUCAUGUGACCACAUCAGCAUCGCAUGUAUGGUUCAAAUGAAAUACCAGCAACAAAUUGCACUAGCCUACAUCCUUCUGUACACCUCAAGGGCCUUCUUCUCAUUAAUUAUAUUUAUCUCAUUUACGGCAUGCAUUAUUCCUUUUCACUACUACGGCAAUUUUUUUUAAAAUUUUCCACAAAAGGACAACUUCUAUUUAGCGUUUUU
rnacentral:misc_RNA from 1 species